CCUCUUCAUAGCAGAUCCGGCGCCUUCCUCUUCUUGGGUUCGUUCAUAGCAGACAUUCACAUUCAUAAAUCAGCGGCGUUUCUUGGGUUUCUCUUUUACCUACCAGCGUCUCUUUGGUUCAUUCUCUUAGGGUAAAAGCAAUUUUCUUGGCUUUUUCUGUUGCAUCAGAGAACAUGAGACAAGAUGCUCAACAAAGUUUCUAGGUGUUGCUUCUGCACUGCUGUUGCACGGCCAUGGCUUUUUGUUGGCUUGGGAAAUCCUGGCNNNNNNNUACAAAGGAACUCGACACAAUGUGGGGUUUGAGAUGAUUGAUGCAUUUGCUGAAUCACAAGGGAUUUUGAUGAAUACAGUUCAUUGCAAAGCUAUUUUUGGAGAAGGUUUUAUUGAUGAAGCACCGCUUCUUCUUGCAAAGCCUCAAACUUACAUGAAUCUGAGUGGUGAAUCUACUGGGCCACUUGCAGCUUACUUUAAGCUACCUCUUAAUCGUGUCAUAGUGAUUCAUGAUGAUAUGGACUUGCCAUGUGGAGUACUUCGACUUCAACACAAAGGAGGG
rnacentral:misc_RNA from 1 species